AACGAACGCUGGCGGCAGGCUUAACACAUGCAAGUCGAACGCAUCCUUCGGGGUGAGUGGCAGACGGGUGAGUAACGCGUGGGAACGUGCCCUUCAGUUCGGGAUAACCCAGGGAAACUUGGGCUGAUACCGGAUACGUGCGAGAGCAGAAAGAUUUAUCGCUGAAGGAUCGGCCCGCGUCUGAUUAGCUAGUUGGUGGGGUAAUGGCCCACCAAGGCGACGAUCAGUAGCUGGUCUGAGAGGAUGAUCAGCCACAUUGGGACUGAGACACGGCCCAAACUCCUACGGGAGGCAGCAGUGGGGAAUAUUGGACAAUGGGCGCAAGCCUGAUCCAGCCAUGCCGCGUGAGUGAUGAAGGCCUUAGGGUUGUAAAGCACUUUCGUCCGGGACGAUAAUGACGGUACCGGAAGAAGAAGCCCCGGCUAACUUCGUGCCAGCAGCCGCCGUAA
rnacentral:rRNA from 1 species